rnacentral:rRNA from 1 species
CAGGCCUAACACAUGCAAGUCGAACGGACCAAGUUGUAGUAAUAUGGCUUGGUUAGUGGCGAACGGGUGAGGAACACGUGACUAAUCUGCCCUGGACUGUGGAAUAACGUUGGGAAACCGGCGCUAAUACCGCAUAUUGAGCUUGAAGGACAUCCUUCGGGUUUGAAAGCUCCGGCGGUCCGGGAUGAGGUCGCGUCCCAUUAGUUUGUUGGUGAGGUAACGGCUCACCAAGGCGACGAUGGGUAGCUGAUCUGAGAGGAUGAUCAGCCACACUGGGACUGAGAUACGGCCCAGACUCCUACGGGAGGCAGCAGUGAGGAAUAUUGCGCAAUGGGCGAAAGCCUGACGCAGCAACGCCGCGUGGAGGAUGAAGGUGCUCUGCAUCGUAAACUCCUGUAAGGGGGGACGAACCGCCCGUUUUCUGACGGGUCUGACGGUACCCCCAAAGUAAGCACCGGCUAAUUCCGUGCCAGCAGCCGCGGUAAU